CCUACGGGGGGCAGCAGUGGGGAAUAUUGCACAAUGGGGGAAACCCUGAUGCAGCGACGCCGCGUGAGCGAAGAAGUAUUUCGGUAUGUAAAGCUCUAUCAGCAGGGAAGAAAAUGACGGUACCUGAGUAAGAAGCUCCGGCUAAAUACGUGCCAGCAGCCGCGGUAAUACGUAGGUGGCAAGCGUUAUCCGGAUUUACUGGGUGUAAAGGGCGUGUAGGCGGGAAAGCAAGUCAGAUGUGAAAACCAUGGGCUCAACCUGUGGCCUGCAUUUGAAACUGUUUUUCUUGAGUACUGGAGAGGCAG
rnacentral:rRNA from 1 species